UUAUUCCCUGGAGUUUUUAACAYUGAGUAYGUUAGKGAYUGGGAUUUUCUCAUGCURUAARUCRCUUUGGAGCAUCAAAAAGGAUGAAAAGGCCAGUGUUCUUUUAGCUUUGCACACUGCAGGUCUAUCAACUUUCACUUCCACGUACUUUGCAUUUUUCUUAAAAAUUUUUUCUUAGGACUGCUCAGGACACACAUUCCUAAAAGCCUUUCUUGCUUGAGACACAUUUUAUUUUAUGUUAUUUUAUGUUAUCUUAUUCUUUCCUUUCCUGUUAUUCCAUUCUAUUCUGUYUUUCCAUGUCCUAUCCUAGCCUAUCCUAUCCCUUCCUGCUCUAUCCUAUCCCAUCUUCUCCUAAUAUAUCCUACCCUUUCCUAUCCUGUCCUAUCCCAUCCUAAUCCUUUCCUAAUCCAUCCCAAUCCAUUUCAUUGUAUUCUAUCCCAUUCUACUCUGUUCCAUUCCUUUCCAUUGCAUCACAUUCCAUCCUAUUCCAUUCCAGUCCAUUCCAUCGAUUUUAUUCUAUUCCAUUCUGUCCCACUCCGUUCCAUUCCAUCUUCUUGUAUUGCAUUCCAUUCCAUCCACAUUCAUUUAAGUCUAGUCUAGUCAAGGCUGUUUGGGUCCUUUCAUCCCCUCUUCCUCCCCUACCCCUUCCCACUUCCCCUUCCCAUUUUUCUUCCUCUCCUUCCCAUUCCAUUCCAUUCUCUUCCAUUUCAUUCUGUUCUGUUCCAUUCCAUUCUAUUCUUUUCCAUUCCAUUCUAUUUAUUCCAGUUAUUCCAUUCCAUUUACUCCUUUCUUUUCCUUUCCUUUCCCUUCUGUUCCUUCUUUCCAUUUUAUUUAAUUCUAUUAUGUCCUUCCCUGUCCUAUCCCACCCUAUCCCAAUCCAUCCCAUCCUAAUAUAUCCUAUCCUAUCCUUUCCCAUCCUCUCCUCUCCUCUCCUAUCCUAUUUAUUCCCUUCCCUUCCAUUUGAUUCAUUUCCCUCCCAUUCCCCUCCUUUCCAUUCUGUUUCAUUCCGUUCCUUUCCAUUGAAUUCCAUUCCAAUUCAUUCCAGUUCAUUCUAUUUUGUUCUGUUCUGUUCUGUUCUGUUUCAUUCCAUUCCAUGUCAUUCCGUUCCAUUCCAAUUCAUUCUAUUUUGUUCUGUUCCAUUCCAUUCCAUUGCAGUCCACUGCAUUUAUUCCAUUGCAUUCUGUUCAAUUGCACUGCAUUCCAUA
rnacentral:lncRNA from 1 species